rnacentral:tRNA from 1 species
GCCGGGAUGGUCGAAUCGGUUAAGGCGUCGCCCCGGACAGGCGAAGGUUGCGGGUUCAAAAAUCCGCUCCUGGCC